rnacentral:tRNA from 1 species
GAGAUAUUAGUAAAAUAAAUUACCCCACCUUGUCAAGGUGAAAUUAUGGGUUAAACCCCCAUAUAUCUCC